rnacentral:lncRNA from 1 species
UAUGCAUGUACAACUCGUGUGAAGCGGCGAAGAUGGAAAUUGCACAGAAAAAACUGGAGGCGCUGCAUGCUGGCAUUGAAUUCGUCGAGACAGGAAUGGAGUGCAUAUUCAGGCGCUUGAUUAGAACGAGGGCAUCUCUCCUAAAUAUCAUUUCCCACUUAUGAUGCUGUAGAUCUUUGGUUCUUUGGUCCAGCAGCAUGAGCGUCCAAGUUUUAC